ACAUACUAAAAGUCCUCAACAAAAUCCCUAGGCGUUACUUGAAAAAAGACGUAUUUAAUCUGCAAAGUACUGUACACAAUGUUAUGUCUCGAACGUCCUGCCAUACUCCGCAGUAAAGUUCACGGUUAGGAAAUAUAACGCUAUACCGUGUAAAUAAUUUGUCUCGGAAUCGGACAAUAACUGAAAAAACAAUUUAAAUCAUUGGCAAUCAUCGAACAUUCUGCAUGUGUUGCUGCACAAGAAUUCCACACCUGUUGUGUAAUAUGAUCUGAAGUUCAAGUAAUGAGUUGCUGCAGAAGAAUUCAACACCUGUUGUGUAUUAUGGUAUUGGUAUUUAGCUGAAGUUAAGGUCAUGAGUAUUACAGUUGCUGCAGAAGAAUUCCACACCUGUUGUGUAUUGUGAUCUGAAGUUCAAGUCAUGAG